rnacentral:rRNA from 1 species
CCGCGGUAAUUCCAGCUCCAAUAGCGUAUAUUAAAGUUGUUGCAGUUAAAAAGCUCGUAGUUGAAUUUCGGGACCAUCAUGUCGGUCGUGCCUCGGUACGUACUGGCAUUGUUGGUUUCUCCCUUCUGACGAACCAUGAUGUCAUUUAUUUGGUGUUGUGGGAAAUCAGGACUGUUACUUUGAAAAAAUUAGAGUGUUUAAAGCAGGCUCACGCUUGAAUACAUUAGCAUGGAAUAAUGAAAUAGGACGUUUGAUUCUAUUUUGUUGGUUUCUAGGAUCGACGUAAUGAUUAAUAGGGAUAGUUGGGGGCAUUAGUAUUCAAUUGUCAGAGGUGAAAUUCUUGGAUUUAUUGAAGACUAACUACUGCGAAAGCAUUUGCCAAGGAUGUUUUCAUUAAUCAAGAACGAAAGUUAGGGGAUCGAAGACGAUCAGAUACCGUCGUAGUCUUAACCAUAAACUAUGCCGACUAGGGAUCGGAUGAUGUUAAUUUUUUAAUGACUCAUUCGGCGCCUUACG